AGUGAACGCUGGCGGUAGGCCUAACACAUGCAAGUCGAACGGCAGCACAGUAAGAGCUUGCUCUUAUGGGUGGCGAGUGGCGGACGGGUGAGGAAUACAUCGGAAUCUACUUUUUCGUGGGGGAUAGCGUAGGGAAACUUACGCUAAUACCGCAUACGACCUACGGGUGAAAGCAGGGGAUCUUCGGACCUUGCGCGAUUGAAUGAGCCGAUGUCGGAUUAGCUAGUUGGCGGGGUAAAGGCCCACCAAGGCGACGAUCCGUAGCUGGUCUGAGAGGAUGAUCAGCCACACUGGAACUGAGACACGGUCCAGACUCCUACGGGAGGCAGCAGUGGGGAAUAUUGGACAAUGGGCGCAAGCCUGAUCCAGCCAUACCGCGUGGGUGAAGAAGGCCUUCGGGUUGUAAAGCCCUUUUGUUGGGAAAGAAAAGCAGCAGGUUAAUACCCCGCUGUUCUGACGGUACCCAAAGAAUAAGCACCGGCUAACUUCGUG
rnacentral:rRNA from 1 species